GAUGAACGCUGGCGGCGUGCCUAAUACAUGCAAGUCGAGCGAACAGACGAGGAGCUUGCUCCUCUGACGUUAGCGGCGGACGGGUGAGUAACACGUGGAUAACCUACCUAUAAGACUGGGAUAACUUCGGGAAACCGGAGCUAAUACCGGAUAAUAUAUUGAACCGCAUGGUUCAAUAGUGAAAGACGGUUUUGCUGUCACUUAUAGAUGGAUCCGCGCCGCAUUAGCUAGUUGGUAAGGUAACGGCUUACCAAGGCAACGAUGCGUAGCCGACCUGAGAGGGGAUGCGCCCACAGUGGAACUGGACCACGGCCCAAACUCCGACGGAGGGAGGGAGAAGGGAAUUUCCGGAAAGGGCGGAAAGCUAAAGGGGACAACGCCGGGGAGGGUGAGAAGGUUUUGGAAUGUGAAAACUCUUUUAUUGGGGAAAAAAAAAUUUUUAAGUAACUGAGCACGUUUGGAGGGUCCCUAAACAAAAACCCCGGGCAAACUACG
rnacentral:rRNA from 1 species